AGAGCGCGGGCAGCAGGGUGGGGCAAGCGGCAGAGGCACGGAGGACGUGGCUGGGCGCCCCGGGCACGAGCAGGACCCGAGGCCAGGGGCCAGGGGCCCAGAAGGUUCAUACCUGUUGGUGGAGAUGUUAGAGAGGAGUGGAGAUAAAAACUUGAUGAAGUCCGACACAGCUGGCUGGGAGUGAACCUGGAUGCUCCUAAGGACCCCCCAGGAAAGUAAGCACCUGGCAUGUGUAUCAGAAGACCCCCUAUGGCCUCACACACAGGCACCGGCUUCUUCUUGACAACUUCCCUGGGUGACUCUUAGAACUCAAUGGCCACGUCCAGCUCAGAGAUCAGAAGCAGCGCGCGUCCCAGAGCGCUACCAUAAUGAUGCCGUCCAGGUCCACAGUACAACCGGCUGCCUUGGUCAUUGCCGUAAUGACAGUACAUUCCAACUUCUCAAGGUGGUCAGGAAGUGGAACCAAGCAGGAAGUUCUGCAUGCCUAUGGCUUCCCUGUGGAGGGACCUCAAGAAGCCACAACAUCCAGCUCUACGCCAAGACUGACUGACGGCCUUUGGGGUGAGGUAGUAGGUUGUAUGGUUUUGGGCUCUGCCCCGCUCUGCGGUAACUAUACAAUCUACUGUCUUUCCUGAAGUGGCCGCAAUAUCUGCAGUGGAUACAACGGCGGCCCUGGCUGGGGAGACUGAGGGAGGGACAGGGGGGUGAUAACUACCAUGCAAAAAGAGCCUGACAGAGACCUUGGAUAGUCCCUUGACCUCUCUGGGCUGUUACUCAUCUGUAUAAGGGUUGGGGCAUAGCGAUGAAAACAGACAGCAUUUUCAGGGCACCUUCUCUCCCUGGCCCACACUGAAGGGGCCUUCCUGCCCCUGGCCCCAUAUCAGACCUGUGCUCACAGGUCUCCAUGAAAAGAGGGUCUGGACUAGACCUUCAACUAUGUUCCAGAGUUGCCCAGGCUUUCCAGCGCAGGGUCAGGCCUCUGACGAGCAAGCGUCUCUUCCGAGAAGAAAUUGAAAAGGAGCCAUUCUUAGCACACCCAUGAGUACAGCCUGCAGAUGGACCGUGUAGGCCACUGUCCCCUGUCCCUGGGGCAAUGGGUUCAGACACCAGAGGCUUCCUCAAUCUGUUUGGUAGGCACAGGCCUUUCUCACUGAACCUCUGUCUCCACUUCCCCCUCCCCCACCCCGCCCUGUGCCCUAUGGCUCUAGUGGCCUGUGGCCAGGGUGGGUGGGGAGCGGCUGGGCCUCCUCCAGAACACGGACACCGCAGGGUGAGGUAGUAGGUUGUGUGGUUUCAGGGCAGUGAUGUUGCCCCUCCGAAGAUAACUAUACAACCUACUGCCUUCCCUGAGGCGCCCAGGGACACAGCUACAUGGAGGCCCCCGCUCAGCAAGCUAAAUGGAGCCACAGAUUGGGUGGGGGCUAUGACGUGGGACCUGGGUAUAAAUAAAGGAUGUUCUGUCAUGAACUUACAA
rnacentral:lncRNA from 1 species